CAGUCGCCGCGGUAAUACGGAGGGCGCGAGCAUUACCCGGAUUUACUGGGCGUAAAGGGCGUGUAGGCGGCCUGGGGCGUCCCAUGUGAAAGGCCACGGCUCAACCGUGGAGGAGCGUGGGAUACGCUCAGGCUAGAGGGUGGGAGAGGGUGGUGGAAUUCCCGGAGUAGCGGUGAAAUGCGCAGAUACCGGGAGGAACGCCGAUGGCGAAGGCAGCCACCUGGUCCACUUCUGACGCUGAGGCGCGAAAGCGUGGGGAGCAAACCGGAUUAGAUACCCCAGUAGUCCCUGUCUCUUAUAA
rnacentral:rRNA from 1 species